rnacentral:rRNA from 1 species
GACGAACGCUGGCGGCGUGCUUAACACAUGCAAGUCGAACGGAAAGGCCCUGCUUUUGUGGGGUGCUCGAGUGGCGAACGGGUGAGUAACACGUGAGCAACCUGCCCUUGACUUUGGGAUAACUUCAGGAAACUGGGGCUAAUACCGGAUAGGAGCUCCUGCUGCAUGGUGGGGGUUGGAAAGUUUCGGCGGUUGGGGAUGGACUCGCGGCUUAUCAGCUUGUUGGUGGGGUAGUGGCUUACCAAGGCUUUGACGGGUAGCCGGCCUGAGAGGGUGACCGGCCACAUUGGGACUGAGAUACGGCCCAGACUCCUACGGGAGGCAGCAGUGGGGAAUAUUGCACAAUGGGCGGAAGCCUGAUGCAGCAACGCCGCGUGCGGGAUGACGGCCUUCGGGUUGUAAACCGCUUUCGCCUGUGACGAAGCGUGAGUGACGGUAAUGGGUAAAGAAGCACCGGCUAACUACGUGCCAGCAGCCGCGGUGAUACGUAGGGUGCGAGCGUUGUCCGGAUUUAUUGGGCGUAAAGGGCUCGUAGGUGGUUGAUCGCGUCGGAAGUGUAAUCUUGGGGCUUAACCCCUGAGCGUGCUUUCGAUACGGGUUGACUUGAGGAAGGUAGGGGAGAAUGGAAUUCCUGGUGGAGCGGUGGAAUGCGCAGAUAUCAGGAGGAACACCAGUGGCGAAGGCGGUUCUCUGGGCCUUUCCUGACGCUGAGGAGCGAAAGCGUGGGGAGCGAACAGGCUUAGAUACCCUGGUAGUCCACGCUGUAAACGGUGGGUACUAGGUGUGGGGUCCAUUCCACGGGUUCCGUGCCGUAGCUAACGCUUUAAGUACCCCGCCUGGGGAGUACGGCCGCAAGGCUAAAACUCAAAGGAAUUGACGGGGCCCCGCACAAGCGGCGGAGCAUGCGGAUUAAUUCGAUGCAACGCGUAGAACCUUACCUGGGUUUGACAUGGAUCGGGAGUGCUCAGAGAUGGGUGUGCCUCUUUUGGGGUCGGUUCACAGGUGGUGCAUGGCUGUCGUCAGCUCGUGUCGUGAGAUGUUGGGUUAAGUCCCGCAACGAGCGCAACCCUUGUUCACUGUUGCCAGCACGUUAUGGUGGGGACUCAGUGGAGACCGCCGGGGUCAACUCGGAGGAAGGUGGGGAUGACGUCAAGUCAUCAUGCCCCUUAUGUCCAGGGCUUCACGCAUGCUACAAUGGCUGGUACAGAGAGUGGCGAGCCUGUGAGGGUGAGCGAAUCUCGGAAAGCCGGUCUCAGUUCGGAUUGGGGUCUGCAACUCGACCUCAUGAAGUCGGAGUCGCUAGUAAUCGCAGAUCAGCAACGCUGCGGUGAAUACGUUCCCGGG